rnacentral:pre_miRNA from 1 species
AUAAUAUAAGAACCCGUCUCUUAACUUUUAACUAAAAAAGUUAAGAACCGGUUUUUAAAUAAGAGUUUUAAGAGCCGGUUCUUAGCUUUUUUAAUUAAAAGUUAAGAGACGGGUUCUUAUAUUUU